rnacentral:rRNA from 1 species
CCUACGGGUGGCUGCAGUGGGGAAUAUUGCACAAUGGGGGAAACCCUGAUGCAGCGACGCCGCGUGAGUGAAGAAGUAAUUCGUUAUGUAAAGCUCUAUCAGCAGGGAAGAAAAUGACGGUACCUGAGUAAGAAGCCCCGGCUAACUACGUGCCAGCAGCCGCGGUAAUACGUAGGGGGCAAGCGUUAUCCGGAUUUACUGGGUGUAAAGGGAGCGUAGACGGCAGUGCAAGUCUGGAGUGAAAGGCGGGGGCUCAACCCCCGGACUGCUCUGGAAACUGUACGGCUGGAGUGCAGGAGAGGUAAGUGGAAUUCCUAGUGUAGCGGUGAAAUGCGUAGAUAUUAGGAGGAACACCAGUGGCGAAGGCGACUAGCUGGCACAUAACUGACGCUGAGGAGCGAAAGCGUGGGUAGCAAACAGGAUUAGAUACCCUUGUAGUC